CCUACGGGUGGCUGCAGUGGGGAAUAUUGGACAAUGGGGGCAACCCUGAUCCAGCCAUGCCGCGUGUGUGAAGAAGGCCCUCGGGUUAUAAAGCACUUUCAGUGAGGAAGAACGCCUGGUGGUUAAUACCCAUCAGGAAAGACAUCACUCACAGAAGAAGCACCGGCUAACUCCGUGCCAGCAGCCGCGGUAAUACGGAGGGUGCGAGCGUUAAUCGGAAUUACUGGGCGUAAAGCGCGCGUAGGUGGCUUGAUAAGCCGGUUGUGAAAGCCCCGGGCUCAACCUGGGAACGGCAUCCGGAACUGUCAAGCUAGAGUGCAGGAGAGGAAGGUAGAAUUCCCGGUGUAGCGGUGAAAUGCGUAGAGAUCGGGAGGAAUACCAGUGGCGAAGGCGGCCUUCUGGACUGACACUGACACUGAGGUGCGAAAGCGUGGGUAGCAAACAGGAUUAGAUACCCUAGUAGUC
rnacentral:rRNA from 1 species